rnacentral:tRNA from 1 species
GCCAGCAUGGCGUAGUGGUUUGAGCAUUGGGUUACGACUCUGGAGACCAGGGUUCGAUUCCCUACUAGGCCA